rnacentral:rRNA from 1 species
CCUACGGGUGGCAGCAGUGAGGAAUAUUGGUCAAUGGGCGCGAGCCUGAACCAGCCAAGUCGCGUGAGGGAUGACGGUCCUACGGAUUGUAAACCUCUUUUGCCGGGGAGCAAGCGUGCGUUCGUGAACGCGCGUCGAGAGCACCCGGAGAAAAAGCAUCGGCAAACUCCGUGCCAGCAGCCGCGGUAACACGGAGGAUGCGAGCGUUAUCGGGAUUUGUUGGGUUUGAAGGGUGGGUAGGCGGGAUGCCAAGUCAGCGGUAAAAAUGCGGUGCUCAACGCCGUCGUGCCGUUGAAACUGGCGUUCUUGAGUGGGCGAGAAGUAUGCGGAAUGCGUGGUGUAGCGGUGAAAUGCAUAGAUAUCACGAAGAACUCCGAUGGCGAAGGCAGCAUACCGGCGCCCGACUGACGCUGAGGCACGAAAGCGUGGGUAGCGAACAGGAUUAGAUACCCUAGUAGUC